AACAAGAACACUGUAAUAGGGACCCCUACCCUUAUUAUUUAUAAAGAGGGUCCUGUAUCUUUAAGGAUGCCAGCCCAGGGUGAAGGCCACACCUCC